AGAGUUUGAUCCUGGCUCAGGAUGAACGCUGGCGGCGUGCCUAACACAUGCAAGUCGAACGGAGUGUUGAGAGCUUGCUUUUAACACUUAGUGGCGGACGGGUGAGUAAUGUAUGAGCAACCCGCCUUUCAGAGGGGGACAACAGUUGGAAACGACUGCUAAUACCGCAUAAUGUGCGUUGAAGGCAUCUUCGAUGUACCAAAGGAGCAAUCCGCUGAAAGAUGGGCUCAUAUCCGAUUAGCUAGUUGGUGAGGUAACGGCUCACCAAGGCUGCGAUCAGUAGCCGGACUGAGAGGUUGAACGGCCACAUUGGGACUGAGAUACGGCCCAGACUCCUACGGGAGGCAGCAGUGGGGAAUAUUGGGCAAUGGGCGAAAGCCUGACCCAGCAACGCCGCGUGAAGGAAGAAGGUCUUCGGAUUGUAAACUUCUUUUAUGAGGGACGAAGGACGUGACGGUACCUCAUGAAUAAGCCACGGCUAACUACGUGCCAGCAGCCGCGGUAAUACGUAGGUGGCAAGCGUUAUCCGGAUUUACUGGGUGUAAAGGGCGCGUAGGCGGGGAUGCAAGUCAGAUGUGAAAUCUAUGGGCUUUACUCAUAAACUGCAUUUGAAACUGUAUCUCUUGAGUGCUGGAGAGGUAGACGGAAUUCCUUGUGUAGCGGUGAAAUGCGUAGAUAUAAGGAAGAACACCAGUGGCGAAGGCGGUCUACUGGACAGUAACUGACGCUGAGGCGCGAAAGCGUGGGGAGCAAACAGAAUUAGAUACCCUGGUAGUCCACGCUGUAAACGAUGAAUACUAGGUGUGGGGGGACCGACCCUCUCCGUGCCCCAAUUAACACAAUA
rnacentral:rRNA from 1 species